rfam:Triticum urartu cultivar G1812 contig477985, whole genome shotgun sequence.
UGUUGCUGUGAUGAAUCGCAAGGACGGUAUCUGAGUAAGGUGGCUCUUGAAAAGGCCCUCCUUCCUUGAUUAUACAACCUAAACUGAUCUUAAUUUCUGAGCAAACA